CAAGUAGAAAACAGAGCACUGCUUUGCUUCCAGUUCACACUGACCUUUCUCCCUUGUGCAGUAUAAACAUGACUGAGGUAAGCUGAAGAUUGACUUUCCAGUUGUUGUCUAUUAUACCUCUAACAAGAGGGGGAUACAAGGCUGCUGUGUUGCUACAGAAGUCCUGGCACUGAAGAUAAGAGAGAGACAUCUCCAUCUUCAUCUACAUCUUAAAAUGCACAUAAUUUUCCAUUCUACCAUCUAUUCAACUACACAGCAAGCUCCUCGAGGUUCUUAUUUACACCUUCUAAUGGGGUCCUAAUCCUAUUUGAAAAUCAGGUGGUUGUGAUGUCAGCCAGGGAAAUGAGUUAACGGUAAGUGACUUUGGCC
rnacentral:lncRNA from 1 species